rnacentral:rRNA from 1 species
UUAGUUGGUGGGGUAAUGGCCUACCAAGACGAUGAUCAGUAGCUGGUCUGAGAGGAUGAUCAGCCACACUGGAACUGAAACACGGUCCAGACUCCUACGGGAGGCAGCAGUGGGGAAUCUUGCGCAAUGGACGAAAGUCUGACGCAGCCACGCCGCGUGAGUGAAGAAGGCCUUCGGGUUGUAAAGCUCUGUCACCUGGGACGAAAACACUGACGGUUAAUAGCCGUCGGAAUUGACGGUACCAGGGGAGGAAGCACCGGCUAACUUCGUGCCAGCAGCCGCGGUAAUACGAAGGGUGCAAGCGUUGCUCGGAAUUAUUGGGCGUAAAGGGUUGGUAGGUGGUCUUGUUUGUCUAAGGUGAAAUCCCAGGGCUUAACCCUGGAAGUGCCUUAGAAACGGCAAGACUAGAGUCCUAGAGGGGUUUGUGGAAUUCCCGGUGUAGCGGUGAAAUGCGUAGAGAUCGGGAGGAACACCAGCGGCGAAGGCGGCAAACUGGAUAGGCACUGACACUCAACAACGAAAGCGUGGGGAGCAAACAGGAUUAGAUACCCUGGUAGUCCACGCUGUAAACGAUGGGUACUAGGCUUUGUGGGAAUAGACCCCUGCAGAGCCGGAGCUAACGCAAUAAGUACCCCGCCUGGGAAGUACGGUCGCAAGACUAAAACUCAAAGGAAUUGACG